rnacentral:rRNA from 2 species
GGAUGAACGCUGGCUGUGUGCCUAAUACAUGCAUGUCGAGCGAAGUUUUUCGGAACUUAGCGGCGAAUGGGUGAGUAACACGUACUCAACGUACCUUUUAGAUUGGGAUAGCAAGUGGAAACAUUUGAUAAUACCGAAUAUGUAUAUUUUUCGCAUGAAAUUUAUAUGAAAGAAGCCUUUAAGCUUCGCUAAAAGAGCGGGGUGCGUAACAUUAGCUAGUUGGUGAGGUAACGGCCCACCAAGGCAAUGAUGUUUAGCGGGGUUGAGAGACUGAACCGCCACACUGGGACUGAGAUACGGCCCAGACUCCUACGGGAGGCAGCAGUAGGGAAUAUUCCACAAUGGACGAAAGUCUGAUGGAGCGACACAGCGUGCAGGAUGAAAGCCUUAUGGGUUGUAAACUGCUGUGGUAAGGGAAGAAAAAAUAAAUGAGGAAAUGCAUUUAUCCUGACGGUACCUUAUUAGAAAGCGACGGCUAACUAUGUGCCAGCAGCCGCGGUAAUACAUAGGUCGCAAGCGUUAUCCGGAAUUAUUGGGCGUAAAGCGUCUGUAGGUUGUUUGUUAAGUCUGGCGUUAAAACUUGGGGCUCAACCCCAAAGCGCGUUGGAUACUGGCAUACUAGAGUUACGUAGAGGUUAGCGGAAUUCCUUGUGAAGCGGUGAAAUGCGUAGAUAUAAGGAAGAACACCAACAUGGCGAAGGCAGCUAACUGGGCGUAUACUGACACUGAGAGACGAAAGCGUGGGGAGCAAACAGGAUUAGAUACCCUGGUAGUCCACGCCCUAAACGAUGAUCAUUAGCUGAUGGAAAAUUCGUCGGCGCAGCUAACGCAUUAAAUGAUCCGCCUGAGUAGUACGUUCGCAAGAAUAAAACUUAAAGGAAUUGACGGGGAUCCGCACAAGCGGUGGAGCAUGUGGUUUAAUUUGAGGAUACGCGAAGAACCUUACCCACUCUUGACAUCUUCUGCAAAGCUAUAGAGAUAUAGUCGAGGUUAACAGAAUGACAGAUGGUGCAUGGUUGUCGUCAGCUCGUGUCGUGAGAUGUUCGGUUAAGUCCUGCAACGAGCGCAACCCUUGUCCUUAGUUACUAGCAUUAAGUUGAGCACUCUAAGGAGACUGCCCGAGUAAUUGGGAGGAAGGUGGGGACGACGUCAAAUCAUCAUGCCUCUUACGAGUGGGGCAACACACGUGCUACAAUGGUCGGUACAAAGAGAAGCAAACUGGUGACAGGGAGCAAACCUCAAAAAACCGAUCUCAGUUCGGAUUGUAGUCUGCAACUCGACUACAUGAAGUCGGAAUCGCUAGUAAUCGUAGAUCAGCUACGCUACGGUGAAUACGUUCUCGGGUCUUGUACACACCGCCCGUCAAACCAUGGGAGCUGGUAAUGCCCGAAGUCGGUUUAAUUACAAACUGCCUAAGGCAGGACUGGUGACUGGGGUUAAGUCGUAACAAGGUAUCCCUACGAGAACGUGGGGAUGGAUUACCUCCUUUCUACGGAGUACAUUAGUUAAUUUAUUUAAUCAUUGGGACUAAAAUUAACCUUUAAGCCUGUUAUUUUAAUAUUGUCAUGACUUGGUUUAAGGCUCUGAGUGAUAUAUCUAGUUUUGAGAGAACAUUCUCUCAAUUGUUCUUUGAAAACUGAAUAGUAAAUUAUUUUGAUAAUAUUUACAACGACAUCUAAACAAAUAAAUUUGUCAAUUUGUUUUGAUCAUCGAGUAAUCAUAUAUUUUAUGAUUUAUUGAAAUGUUUUAAAAUACACAUCAUUAACCAAAUAGGAACAUACUUUUAAAUAAUAAAGAGUUUGUGGUGGAUGCCUUGGGUCUGAAAGUCGAUGAAGGACGUGAUUACCUGCGAUAAGCCUCGUUGAGCCGGAUAUAUGCUAUGAAACGGGGAUUUCCGAAUGGGGAAACCUAAUUGGGGUAAUGCCUAAUUGCCAUUUUUUGAAUCCAUAGAAAAAUGAGUGAGACACCUUGCGAACUGAAACAUCUUAGUAGCAAGAGGAAAAGAAAAUAAAUUUAAUGAUUUCUUUAGUAGCGGCGAGCGAAAGAGAAAGAGCCCAAACCAUUUUAAUGGGGUUGUAGGACGAACUAUGUAGAGUUAUAAAAUUAAACGAUAGCAGAAGCUUUUGGGAAGAAGCGACAUAGAGGGUGAUAUCCCCGUAUGCGAAAUUGUUUAAUCUCUUGGUCGUAUCCUGAGUAGGGCGGGGCACGUGAAACCCUGUCUGAAUCUGCCGGGACCACCCGGUAAGGCUAAAUACUAAUCAGACACCGAUAGUGGAAUAGUACCGUGAGGG